rnacentral:lncRNA from 10 species
AGUUCUCUCGAUGUUGCCCAGGGAGCUGGGGGUGUUUGGAGCAGGGAAGGGACCCAGAAGGAAAGGGGGGGUGCUGUGGAGUGACCAGGAAGAAUGUGGGCUUUUUCUGUUUCCUGGGAGCUCUGGUGAGGUUUGUAGGUGAUGAGCUCCCCCUCUUUUCCGUCCAGGAGCUGCAGGAUCUGCCAAGAGAGGCUGGGGAGGUCCUGAGACCCUUCCCUGUCAGAGAAGAAGAGGCAGAGGGUGGCAAGGGCGUAAGCAUGGCUUUCUCACCCAUUCCCAGGGGACAGGAGGCAUCGGGAGAGUGUCCUGCGUGGGGGAACUGUCAGAGGGGAGGAUGACAUCGUGCCCCCUGCACCUCCAGCCCCCAAUAAUGUGAGGAUGCGCUAAGUUAGGGAAGUGAGGAAAAGGCCCCACUCCUCCUAGCAGAUUUCUGAACUGAGGUGAGGUCUGAACUGGUGGAAAGAUGAAAUUUUGAUUUCAGUCUAGCUGGAAUUUAUUUUAAAAAUCUGCAAAGGAUGCUGUUCUAAAGCUGAAAAGUGACUGGAAAAGCUCUGAGAUGCACCUGGGGUGUUGUCUAGAAGUGGGGAAGGAAGCUCUGGCACAGAAGUUCGGGAAGUGUGGGGAGACAGAAAUUCAUUUCCCCCCAUUCAGAGGGCCAGGCGCAAGUUUCUGCUGAACACUCUCCCGUCUCUUCCAACCUACACCUACAGCCCUGCAUCUUCUCACUGAAAACAUUUCCAUCUUCUGGGUCAACAGCCGCACUUUUUGUGGUGUGUAGAAACGAGAUACAGGGGCCCCCAACACCCAGUGUGUUGGGUGCUGUACAGGAGUGAGCGUUGGCGGCAGCCGGGGCUCGGCUCACCGCCUCAGGGUACUGUGUGUACACAGGAGUCAGGAGUAAGUCACUUUCCCAGCCCGUGAGGCAUCAUUUUAGAGCUGGUUUCUCUACUGUACCAAUGUCCCUGUUCUGCCUGGCCUUUGUCUGCAGCCCUGCUCCCUUCCCUGGCUGUCACCAUUCCAGGAGCUGCCCUCCUGUGCUCUGCACUGCUCCCAUCCACCUGUCCCCGCCCCAGACUGUGGGUGGGAGCCCGACCUGCACUCUGGCUGUGCUGGAACAAAGCGUCAGGGCUUGGUCACCAUCAGCCGCUGACCACGGUCUGCUCGGGCUGCUGGGAGACCAGGCUGUGCUGGGGAGUUCCCGGGGAUCCUGGCGCCUGCCAGGAACCUGAGCUAGGGCCUAUUUAAACUCCUGACAUGCAGUCAGCACUCAGAUGUUUGACGGGCAAGUGAGCAAACGAACAAAUGAAUGAAUAAGUGCCUUAGAACACUCAAGGCAGAUACACGUGGGCAGAAAUGAACUUCCAGAGGCCGCCACAGCCUCAGUCGUUUCCUGUUGCAAUAUUGUCUAUGGAAUGGCUGAGCCAAGAACUGAAAGGUUCCGGUUCCUCUCCCCGGAGUUUGGACAGCACCAAGCUGUAGCAGUAGGGUCGUAUGCAACACAGAGAAGGCCAUUUCUGUGGGAGAUGCUUCCAGUGGAACUUUGGAGUCUGGGCUGAGCUUGUCGACAAGGGUCUUGAGCCUGUUGUUUAUUAGAAUUUGGCUGCAGGGUUAGCUCUUCCUCUGACAUGGUUCAUCCCAUUCAUCAGAUGAGUAAGGAGUUGUCCCCGGACUAUAGACCUGCGCUGACAUCUCUUGCACAGUAAAGAAAAGGAAAAAUUCAUAGUUGUAUGUUGUGGUUUUCAGUAUCUUUAGUUUACAAGCCAACUGUUUAUCACAUCAGGACAUUGAUCUAUAAAUAAAUUUGAAAGCAGUGAUACAUCUGGGCCUUCGCGGGCCUCCAGUUGAGGCAAUGAUCUAUAAAUAUGUUUGUCUGUGUCGCUGAUCUUUUGUUAUUAAUGUUGCGGCUUUCAUCGUGGUUAUCAAUCUCACCCUGAUUACCAGAGUCUUUGCAAAACACUUUGUUCCCUGACCAGGCCUCG